rnacentral:rRNA from 1 species
UAGGGAAUCUUCCACAAUGGGCGAAAGCCUGAUGGAGCAACGCCGCGUGUGUGAUGAAGGCUUUCGGGUCGUAAAGCACUGUUGUAUGGGAAGAACAGCUAGAAUAGGAAAUGAUUUUAGUUUGACGGUACCAUACCAGAAAGGGACGGCUAAAUACGUGCUAG